AUGCUACUCCCUUUGUCCGGAAAUACAUGUCGGAGAAAUGAAUGCAUCUAGACAUAUUUUAGUUCUAAAUGUCUAGAUACAUUUAUUUCUUCGACAAGUAUUUCUGGACGGAGUGAGUACGUA
rnacentral:pre_miRNA from 1 species